rnacentral:rRNA from 1 species
UACGAAGGGGGCUAGCGUUGCUCGGAAUCACUGGGCGUAAAGCGCACGUAGGCGGCUCGUUAAGUCGGGGGUGAAAACCCGGAGCUCAACUCCGGGCCUGCAGUCGAUACGGGCAGACUGGAGUUCGGCAGGGGAGACUGGAAUUCCUGGUGUAGCGGUGAAAUGCGCAGAUAUCAGGAGGAACACCGGUGGCGAAGGCGGGUCUCUGGGCCGAUACUGACGCUGAGGAGCGAAAGCGUGGGGAGCGAACAGG